GAGUUUGAUCAUGGCUCAGAUUGAACGCUGGCGGCAUGCCUUACACAUGCAAGUCGAACGGCAGCACGGGAGCUUGCUCCUGGUGGCGAGUGGCGAACGGGUGAGUAAUGCAUCGGAACGUAUCCUGGAGUGGGGGAUAACGUAGCGAAAGUUACGCUAAUACCGCAUAUUCUGUGAGCAGGAAAGCGGGGGACCUUCGGGCCUCGCGCUCUUGGAGCGGCCGAUGUCGGAUUAGCUAGUUGGUGAGGUAAAGGCUCACCAAGGCGACGAUCCGUAGCAGGUCUGAGAGGAUGAUCUGCCACACUGGAACUGAGACACGGUCCAGACUCCUACGGGAGGCAGCAGUGGGGAAUUUUGGACAAUGGGCGCAAGCCUGACCCAGCAACGCCGCGUGAAGGAAGAAGGCUUUCGGGUUGUAAACUUCUUUUAACUAGGACGGAUAAUGACGGUACCUGUUGAAUAAGCUCCGGCUAACUACGUGCCAGCAGCCGCGGUAAU
rnacentral:rRNA from 1 species